rnacentral:rRNA from 1 species
GCAAGUCGAACGAGAAAGCAUCUUCGGGUGUAAGUAGAGUGGCGCACGGGUGAGUAACACCUGGGCAACCUACCCUUCAGAGGGGGAUAACCUCGGGAAACCGAGGCUAAUACCGCGUACGCCCAUAGAUUCCACGGGAUUUGUGGGGAAAGAGUUUUCGCUGAAGGAUGGGCCCGGGCCCGAUUAGUUUGUUGGUGAGGUAACGGCUCACCAAGACGACGAUUGGUAGCUGGUCUGAGAGGAUGAUC